UACGAAGGGGGCUAGCGUUGCUCGGAAUCACUGGGCGUAAAGGGUGCGUAGGCGGGUCUUUUAAGUCAGGGGUGAAAUCCUGGAGCUCAACUCCAGAACUGCCUUUGAUACUGAAGAUCUUGAGUUCGGGAGAGGUGAGUGGAACUGCGAGUGUAGAGGUGAAAUUCGUAGAUAUUCGCAAGAACACCAGUGGCGAAGGCGGACUCACUGGCCCGAUACUGACGCUGAGGCACGAA
rnacentral:rRNA from 1 species